rnacentral:rRNA from 1 species
UACGAAGGGGGCUAGCGUUGCUCGGAAUCACUGGGCGUAAAGGGUGCGUAGGCGGGUCUUUAAGUCAGGGGUGAAAUCCUGGAGCUCAACUCCAGAACUGCCUUUGAUACUGAGGAUCCUGAGUUCGGGAGAGGUGAGUGGAACUGCGAGUGUAGAGGUGAAAUUCGUAGAUAUUCGCAAGAACACCAGUGGCGAAGGCGGCUCACUGGCCCGAUACUGACGCUGAGGCGCGAAAGCGUGGGGAGCAAACAGG